AUUGAACGCUGGCGGCACGCUUAACACAUGCAAGUCGAGCGGUAACAUGAUCUGUAGCAAUACAGAUUGAUGACGAGCGGCGGACGGGUGAGUAACACGUAGGAACCUGCCCAAAAGCGGGGGAUAACCAAGGGAAACUUUGGCUAACACCGCGUAAUCUCGAGAGAGGAAAGCUGCCCGCAAGGGUGGUGCUUUUGGAGGGGCCUGCGCCCGAUUAGCUAGUUGGUGAGGUAAUAGCUCACCAAGGCGAUGAUCGGUAACUGGUCUGAGAGGACGACCAGUCACACUGGGACUGAGACACGGCCCAGACUCCUACGGGAGGCAGCAGUGGGGAAUCUUGGACAAUGGGGGCAACCCUGAUCCAGCGAUGCCGCGUGGGUGAAGAAGGCCUUCGGGUUGUAAAGCCCUUUAGGUCGGGAAGAAGUGUGUAGGCUGGAUAAUCCUAUACAUUGACGGUACCGACAGAGUAAGCACCGGCAAACUCUGUGCCAGCAGCCGCGGUAA
rnacentral:rRNA from 1 species